GUGGGUAGUUUGACUGGGGCGGUCUCCUCCUAAAGAGUAACGGAGGAGCACGAAGGUUGGCUAAUCCUGGUCGGACAUCAGGAGGUUAGUGCAAUGGCAUAAGCCAGCUUGACUGCGAGCGUGACGGCGCGAGCAGGUGCGAAAGCAGGUCAUAGUGAUCCGGUGGUUCUGAAUGGAAGGGCCAUCGCUCAACGGAUAAAAGGUACUCCGGGGAUAACAGGCUGAUACCGCCCAAGAGUUCAUAUCGACGGCGGUGUUUGGCACCUCGAUGUCGGCUCAUCACAUCCUGGGGCUGAAGUAGGUCCCAAGGGUAUGGCUGUUCGCCAUUUAAAGUGGUACGCGAGCUGGGUUUAGAACGUCGUGAGACAGUUCGGUCCCUAUCUGCCGUGGGCGCUGGAGAACUGAGGGGGGCUGCUCCUAGUACGAGAGGACCGGAGUGGACGCAUCACUGGUGUUCGGGUUGUCAUGCCAAUGGCACUGCCCGGUAGCUAAAUGCGGAAGAGAUAAGUGCUGAAAGCAUCUAAGCACGAAACUUGCCCCGAGAUGAGUUCUCCCUGAGACUUUAGGUCUCCUGAAGG
rnacentral:rRNA from 3 species